rnacentral:rRNA from 1 species
UACGAAGGGGGCUAGCGUUGUUCGGAAUUACUGGGCGUAAAGCGCACGUAGGCGGAUUUGUAAGUCAGGGGUGAAAUCCCGGAGCUCAACUCCGGAACUGCCUUUGAUACUGCAAGUCUCGAGUCCGGAAGAGGUGAGUGGAACUCCUAGUGUAGAGGUGAAAUUCGUAGAUAUUAGGAAGAACACCAGUGGCGAAGGCGGCUCACUGGUCCGGUACUGACGCUGAGGUGCGAAAGCGUGGGGAGCAAACAGG